rnacentral:rRNA from 1 species
CCUGACUGCUAUCGGAUUGAUACUACUCCAUGCGAGUCUUUGCAGUAAUGCAAGGCAUACGGCUCAGUAACACGUAGUCAACUUACCCUAUGGACGAGGAUAAUCUCGGGAAACUGAGCAUAAUACUCGAUAGAUCAUAAUGCCUGGAAUGGUUUAUGGUUGAAAUGAUUCGUCGCCAUAGGAUGGGACUGCGGCCUAUCAGCUUGUUGGUGAGGUAAUGGCCCACCAAGGCGAUUACAGGUACGGGCUCUGAGAGGAGAAGCCCGGAGAUGGGUACUGAGACAAGGACCCAGGCCCUAUGGGGCGCAGCAGGCGAGAAAACUUUGCAAUGUGCGAAAGCACGACAAGGUUAAUCCGAGUGAUUUCUGCUAAAGAAAUCUUUUGCAAGUCAUAAAACCACUAGUGAAUAAGGGGUGGGCAAGUUCUGGUGUCAGCCGCCGCGGUAAAACCAGCACCUCAAGUGGUCAGGAGGAUUAUUGGGCCUAAAGCAUCCGUAGCCGGCUCUGUAAGUUUUCGGUUAAAUCCAUGUGCUCAACGCAUGGGCUGCCGAAAAUACUGCAUAGCUAGGGAGUGGGAGAGGUAGACGGUACUCGGUAGGAAGGGGUAAAAUCCUUUGAUCUAUCGAUGACCACCUGUGGCGAAGGCGGUCUACCAGAACACGUUCGACGGUGAGGGAUGAAAGCUGGGGGAGCAAACCGGAUUAGAUACCCGGGUAGUCCCAGCUGUAAACGAUGCAGACUCGAUGAUGCAUUGGCAUAUAGCCAGUGCAGUGUCGCAGGGAAGCCGUUAAGUCUGCCGCCUGGGAAGUACGUACGCAAGUAUGAAACUUAAAGGAAUUGGCGGGGGAGCACCACAAGGGGUGAAGCCUGCGGUUC